CUUCCCAUUUAUUUGCUGCUCGAGUCUCAGGGACAGGAACAGUUGUACACAUGGGAUAAAACAAUUUUGGGCCACUGUAAAUAGAGAUGGAGUCUGUUCUGUCUCCUGCCUGGUCUAGACAUUG
ensembl:snoRNA